GAUGAACGCUGGCGGCGUGCCUAAUACAUGCAAGUCGGGCGAACGGACGAGAAGCUUGCUUCUCUGAUGUUAGCGGCGGACGGGUGAGUAACACGUGGAUAACCUACCUAUAAGACUGGGAUAACUUCGGGAAACCGGAGCUAAUACCGGAUAAUAUUUUGAACCGCAUGGUUCAAAAGUGAAAGACGGUCUUGCUGUCACUUAUAGAUGGAUCAGCGCUGCAUUAGCUAGUUGGUAAGGUAACGGCUUACCAAGGCAACGAUGCAUAGCCGACCUGAGAGGGUGAUCGGCCACACUGGAACUGAGACACGGUCCAGACUCCUACGGGAGGCAGCAGUAGGGAAUCUUCCGCAAUGGGCGAAAGCCUGACGGAGCAACGCCGCGUGAGUGAUGAAGGUCUUCGGAUCGUAAAACUCUGUUAUUAGGGAAGAACAUAUGUGUAAGUAACUGUGCACAUCUUGACGGUACCUAAUCAGAAAGCCACGGCUAACUACGUG
rnacentral:rRNA from 1 species